UACGAAGGGUGCAAGCGUUAAUCGGAAUUACUGGGCGUAAAGCGUGCGUAGGCGGUUUCUUAAGUCUGCUGUGAAAUCCCCGGGCUCAACCUGGGAAUGGCAGUGGAUACUGGGAGGCUAGAGUGUGUCAGAGGAUGGUGGAAUUCCCGGUGUAGCGGUGAAAUGCGUAGAGAUCGGGAGGAACAUCAGUGGCGAAGGCGGCCAUCUGGGACAACACUGACGCUGAGGCGCGAAAGCGUGGGGAGCAAACAGG
rnacentral:rRNA from 1 species